rnacentral:rRNA from 1 species
UACGUAGGGUGCAAGCGUUGUCCGGAAUUAUUGGGCGUAAAGGGCUCGUAGGCGGUCCAUCGCGUCGGGAGUGAAAAGCUGGGGCUUAACCCCAGUCCUGCUUCCGAUACGGGUGGACUAGAGGUAGGUAGGGGAGAUCGGAAUUCCUGGUGUAGCGGUGGAAUGCGCAGAUAUCAGGAGGAACACCAAUAGCGAAGGCAGCUCGCUGGGACGUUACUGACACUGAGGCGCGAAAGCGUGGGGAGCGAACAGG